rnacentral:rRNA from 1 species
UACGUAGGGAGCGAGCGUUGUCCGGAUUUAUUGGCGUAAAGGGCGUGUAGGCGGCCUGUUAAGUCUGAAGUGAAAUCCAGGGCUCAACCCUGGAACUGCUUCGGAUACUGGUGGCUUGAGUGCUCUAGAGGGUAGUGGAAUUGCCGGUGUAGCAGUGAAAUGCGUAGAGAUCGGCAGGAACACCAGUGGCGAAGGCGACUGCCUGGGGACGUAACUGACGCUGAGGCGCGAAAGCUGGG